rnacentral:lncRNA from 1 species
GAUAAUAACUUGGCAGGUUUUUUAAAGGCAGAAUCCUUUUAUUUUCAGCAGAACACAACACUCCAAUUUAAACAAUUCUCCUGUCUGUCUUCUUUUUUCCUACGGUAUCAUGGCCAGAGUCUAAAGUGGACGCAUUUUAAUGCUCAUAGCAAGAAAAAGUCUGUGGAAUAAUGAACCUGUAAAUCUCCUGGCUCCCAUUGGAGGGCUUGAAAACACAUCUUGAAUGCUCUGUGGAAUAUAUCAUUUUCCUUCACUUUUGCACCUUCCUGAAACUGCAGACUUCAAAGCACACUGACCUGCUCAGGUUUCACUACUUACUGUUUCAUGACUUUACAUGUGGAUUUACCUCCCUUUCCUUAACUAUGAAACGAGAACUCCUUCCAGUCUUAACUCCACAGGAUCUUUACCCCUUUAAAAGAACCUGA